UACGUAGGGGGCAAGCGUUGUCCGGAUUUAUUGGGCGUAAAGAGCGUGUAGGCGGUUUGGUAGGUCCGCUGUGAAAACUCGAGGCUCAACCUCGAGACGCCGGUGGAAACCAUCAGGCUAGAGUACGGAAGAGGCGAGUGGAAUUCCUGGUGUAGCGGUGGAAUGCGCAGAUAUCAGGAGGAACACCAAUAGCGAAAGGCAGCUCGCUGGGGACGUUUACUGAGCUGAGACGCGAAAAGCGUGGGGGAGCAAAACAGG
rnacentral:rRNA from 1 species